UACGUAGGGGGCAAGCGUUGUCCGGAUUUAUUGGGCGUAAAGAGCGUGUAGGCGGCCGCACAGGUCCGUUGUGAAAACUGGAGGCUUAACCUUCAGACGUCGAUGGAAACCGUGCGGCUAGAGUCCGGAAGAGGAGAGUGGAAUUCCUGGUGUAGCGGUGAAAUGCGCAGAUAUCAGGAAGAACACCCGUAGCGAAGGCGGCACUCUGGGCCGGUACUGACGCUGAGGAGCGAAAGCGUGGGGAGCAAACAGG
rnacentral:rRNA from 1 species